rnacentral:rRNA from 1 species
UGGGGAAUUUUCCGCAAUGGGCGCAAGCCUGACGGAGCGACGCCGCGUAUGGGAUGAAGUAUUUCGGUAUGUAAACCAUUGUCAGUGGGGACGAAACAAAUGACGGUACCCACAGAGGAAGCAUCGGCUAACUACGUGCCAGCAGCCGCGGUAAUACGUAGGAUGCAAGCGUUGUUCGGAAUUACUGGGCGUAAAGAGUACGUAGGCGGUAUGAUAAGUCUGAAAUUAAAGACUGAGGCUUAACCUCAGGAAUGUAUCGGAAACUGCCAAACUAGAGGACAAUAGAGGAAGUCGGAAUUCUCAGUGUAGCGGUGAAAUGCGUAGAUAUUGGGAAGAACACCAGUGGCGAAAGCGGACUUCUGGGUUGUUACUGACGCUGAGGUACGAAAGCGUGGGGAGCAAACGGGAUUAGAUACCCCCGUAGUCC